rnacentral:precursor_RNA from 1 species
GCCAGAGCAAGAAGAUCUCAGGCUGUCGUCCUCUAGAGGGAAGCACUUUCUGUUGUCUGAAAGAAAAGAAAGUGCUUCCUUUUAGAGGGUUACCGUUUGAGAAAAGCAACAUUGAAGUUG